AGCGAACGCUGGCGGCAGGCUUAACACAUGCAAGUCGAGCGCCCCGCAAGGGGAGCGGCAGACGGGAGAGUAACACGUGGGAACAUACCUUUUGGUUCGGAACAACUGAGGGAAACUUCAGCUAAUACCGGAUAAGCCCUUACGGGGAAAGAUUUAUCGCCGAAAGAUUGGCCCGCGUCUGAUUAGCUAGUUGGUGAGGUAACGGCUCACCAAGGCGACGAUCAGUAGCUGGUCUGAGAGGAUGAUCAGCCUCACUGGGACUGAGACACGGCCCAGACUCCUACGGGAGGCAGCAGUGGGGAAUAUUGGACAAUGGGGGCAACCCUGAUCCAGCCAUGCCGCGUGAGUGAUGAAGGCCUUAGGGUUGUAAAGCUCUUUUGCCCGGGAAGAUAAUGACGGUACCGGGAGAAUAAGCCCCGGCUAGCUUCGUG
rnacentral:rRNA from 1 species